UACGGAAGGCAGCAGUGGGGAAUAUUGCACAAUGGGCGAAAGCCUGAUGCAGCUAUGCCGCGUGUAUGAAGAAGGCCUUAGGGUUGUAAAGUACUUUCAUCGGGGAGGAAAAAACAAAACUAAUAAUUUUAUUUCUUGACGUUACCCGAAAAAGAAGUACCGGCUAACUCCGUGCCAGCAGCCGCGGUAAUACGGAGGGUGCUAGCGUUAAUCAGAAUUACUGGGCGUAAAGAGCACGUAGGUGGUUUUUUUAAGUCAGAUGUGAAAUCCCUGGGCUUAACCUGGAACUGCAUUUUGAAACUGAAAUACUAGAGUAUCGUAGAGGGAGGUAGAAUUCUAGGUGUAGCGGUGAAAUGCGUAGAUAUCUGGAGGAAUACCUGUGGCGAAAGCGGCCUCCUAAACGAAUACUGACACUGAGGGUGCGAAAGCGUGGGGAGCAAACAGGGAUUAGAUACC
rnacentral:rRNA from 1 species